GCUGCAAGUGGGUCAGGAGAUCAGAGUGGACCGAGUAGGCCCUGGAAUGCUCUGCUGGGAGGCCUGCCAGGAGGACUUCAGUCCCCCACCCCGCCCCCAUCCUCCCCCCAGGGGCAGGAUGACUCGGCAUUUCCUAUUAUUAUUAUUAAGGCCAACCCCAGAGGCCCUGGCAAGGCUGACUGCUGUUAAAACUGGACUGUUCUCCUUCUGGUUCCUGGUUCAUUCUAGGUGCUGACAUUGUGUGGAAGAACUUUCCCGGACAUCCCUUUUAAUUCUCAGAAGCAGGCCACAAGGAAGAAGGGGGAUGACCUUAUCUCUAGAAACUCCUAUCAAUACAGAAUGCAAGGACUUAAAUCUGCAUAAUAAUCUUAUUCCUGUUUAUUGUACUUGUCUGGUAACCUCCUGUAACUGACUUCCCCCACCCCCAACAUCCUCCUUUGUCUUUCGCUGGAUAUGAUAUUUAAGGUGGUGGCUUCAGCCAUUUUGGCGAGUUGCUCAGCUUGCCUGACCCUCUCCCAUGUAUACAUGUUAUAAAGCUUUGUUUAAUUUUCUCCUGUUAUUCUGUCUCAUGUGAAUUUAAU
rnacentral:lncRNA from 1 species